AGUUGAGGCAGAGUAUGACGGAGAAAACGUUACAAGCGGCAUCGUUCAUUGACGCCGCUCAAUUUCCGUUUUUUGCUCGCCUCAUUUACAUUCG
ensembl:ncRNA K02G10.9 ncRNA